rnacentral:misc_RNA from 1 species
GCUGUCCUCCCAUAGGUUCAAACUAGAACACAAGUGAAAAAUUACAAGUCAGGAACCAAUGGUAAUUCAUUAGAUAUUAUGGUUCAUAGAACCAUAACUGAAAUGAAAAAUAAAAAGAACAAACGUAAAUUUACUCUUAAAAUAAACAUCAUUCAUUGUACACUACGACAUACCCCACAAUCCUCUCAACUGAAGAAAACUGUAACUGAAAAUGCAUAUUAGAGUUCUCCACCAAUAGCUACAUAAAGCUCUUCAUUCAGUAUAGAUAUUGUGAAAUACUAAUAACUAACAAGAGCAUCACAUCUUUCAAACCUGUACUUUAUUAAUGAGCUGAAGACGAGCAAAUAUCCAAAUUUUGGAAAGAGGGAAGUUUAAACAGUGAUAUCCAGAUAGAAAAUUUUCUGGCACUAUUGGGAUAAAGACUUAGUUGAGUU